UACGUAGGGACCAAGCGUUGUUCGGAUUUACUGGGCGUAAAGGGCGCGUAGGCGGCGCGGUAAGUCACUUGUGAAAUCUCUGAGCUUAACUCAGAAGCGCAAGUGAUACUGCAGUGCUAGAGUGUGGAAGGGGCAAUCGGAAUUCUUGGUGUAGCGGUGAAAUGCGUAGAUAUCAAGAGGAACACCUGAGGUGAAGACGGGUUGCUGGGCCAACACUGACGCUGAUGCGCGAAAGCCAGGGGAGCAAACGGG
rnacentral:rRNA from 1 species